GAUGAACGCUAGCGAUAGGCUUAACACAUGCAAGUCGAGGGGCAGCAUGGUCUUAGCUUGCUAAGACUGAUGGCGACCGGCGCACGGGUGCGUAACGCGUAUGCAACUUGCCUCACAGAGGGGGAUAACCCGUCGAAAGACGGACUAAUACCGCGUACACUCCAUCUUGGGCAUCCAAGGUAGAGGAAAUGAAAUUCGCUGUGAGAUAGGCAUGCGUCCCAUUAGCUAGUUGGUGAGGUAACGGCUCACCAAGGCGACGAUGGGUAGGGGAACUGAGAGGUUGAACCCCCACACUGGUACUGAGACACGGACCAGACUCCUACGGGAGGCAGCAGUGAGGAAUAUUGGGCAAUGGGCGAGAGCCUGAACCAGCCAAGUCGCGUGAAGGAUGACUGUCUUAUGGAUUGUAAACUUCUUUUAUACGGGAAUAACAAGAGUCACGUGUGACUCCCUGCAUGUACCGUAUGAAUAAGCAUCGGCUAACUCCGUG
rnacentral:rRNA from 1 species